rnacentral:rRNA from 1 species
UACAGAGGGUGCAAGCGUUAAUCGGAAUUACUGGGCGUAAAGCGUGCGCAGGCGGUUUUGUAAGCCAGAUGUGAAAUCCCCGGGCUUAACCUGGGAAUGGCAUUUGGGACUGCAAGGCUUGAGUGCGGCAGAGGAGACUGGAAUUCCUGGUGUAGCAGUGAAAUGCGUAGAUAUCAGGAGGAAUACCGAUGGCGAAGGCAGGUCUCUGGGCUGACACUGACGCUCAUGCACGAAAGCGUGGGGAGCAAACAGG